ACAAAAGGAUAUCCCCUAGAUGUAUGAUUAAAGUUGACUUAUGGAAGGCCUUUGACAUGGUUGAUUGGGACUUCCUUAUGUCAACACUGGUUGAUUUUGGUUUUCCUCAACAAUUCUGAGACUGGAUCUGAGAAUGUGUUUCGUAUUCUAUAAGCCUAAAUGGCAGCAUUCACGAUUUCUUCAGUGGGCGGCGAGGGCUAAGAUAAGGAAACCCACAAUCACCCUUAUUAUUUGGCCUUUGUCUUGAAGUACUAUCAAGGAGAUUAAAGAUGAGGAAGAUGUCAUCCCGAAUGUGAUAGGGGACACGAAGGCAGAGUAGCCGAGGAGAUGGGGUUGAAUGCAUCACACACUGUCCAGGGACCCUAAGUGCUAGUUAUUAGUCUUUUUCCUUUGAAUUGUUAUAUUAGUAUGAGAUGGAGACUACUUGUUGGCUUGCAUUGGUAGGAGAUCACACAUGUUUUCUUUUUUCUUGAGAGGUAUGUUUUCUUAUUUGUUUUUGUAAUUUCAGACAAAUAUAUGAUGCAAAGUUGUUUCCUUCC